GACAGAGGCCUCGAGCGUUAGGCAGAAUCACUAACCUUAAAACGUGUGUAGGCAGGCCCGUAAGUGUCUUGUGAAAUCCUCCGGCUCAACCGGGGAAGGGCCUCGGGUACGGGCGGCCUCGAGGGGGGUAGGGGCGUGCGGAACUGUGGGUGGAGCGGUGAAAUGCGUUGAGAUCCACAGGAACUCCGGCGGCGAAGGCGGCACGCUGGACCCCAUCUGACGCUGAGGCGCGAAAGCCAGGGGAGCGAACGGG
rnacentral:rRNA from 1 species